UACGUAGGGUGCAAGCGUUAAUCGGAAUUACUGGGCGUAAAGCGUGCGCAGGCGGUUAUGUAAGACAGUUGUGAAAUCCCCCGGGCUCAACCUGGGGAAUUGCAUCUGUGACUGCAUAGCUAGAGUACGGUAGAGGGGGAUGGAAUUCCGCGUGUAGCAGUGAAAUGCGUAGAGAUGUGGAGGAACACCGAUGGCGAAGGCAGCCCCCUGGGUCAAGAUUGACGCUCGAUGCACGAAAGCGUGGGGAGCAAACAGG
rnacentral:rRNA from 1 species